GAAAUUUGGAGUAGAACUUCUGGAAGAUAUUUAUAUCAAAGUUUAACCAAUAUUAUUGAGUCACCACAGGAAGAUAUAGACAUAAAUGAUUUAGAAUUACAAGUAAAAGAAGAUGUUGACGAAUACAAUUUGCCUGGUACCAAACGUACACCUUGGAAACUUAGAAAGAGUAAAUAUUAUAGAGAUAUGAGACUUUCCAAGAUUCAGGAAAAAUAUAAAUAUGAG